rnacentral:rRNA from 1 species
UACGUAGGGCGCGAGCGUUGUCCGGAAUUAUUGGGCGUAAAGAGCUCGUAGGCGGCCUGUGCGUCCGCUGUGAAAUCCCCGGGGGCUCAACCCCCGGGGCUUGCAGUGGAUACGGGCUGGCUAGAGGGCAGGCAGGGGAGAACCGGGAAUUCCCGGUGUAGCGGUGAAUGCGCAGAUAUCGGGAGGAACACCAAUGGCGAAGGCAGCUCGCUGGGACGGUACUGACGCUGAGGCGCGAAGCUAGGAGGCAACAGGAUAGAACCCG